rnacentral:rRNA from 1 species
GAUGAACGCUGGCGGCGUGCCUAAUACAUGCAAGUCGAGCGAACAGAUAAGGAGCUUGCUCCUUUGACGUUAGCGGCGGACGGGUGAGUAACACGUGGGUAACCUACCUAUAAGACUGGGAUAACUUCGGGAAACCGGAGCUAAUACCGGAUAAUAUUUCGAACCGCAUGGUUCGAUAGUGAAAGAUGGUUUUGCUAUCACUUAUAGAUGGACCCGCGCCGUAUUAGCUAGUUGGUAAGGUAACGGCUUACCAAGGCGACGAUACGUAGCCGACCUGAGAGGGUGAUCGGCCACACUGGAACUGAGACACGGUCCAGACUCCUACGGGAGGCAGCAGUAGGGAAUCUUCCGCAAUGGGCGAAAGCCUGACGGAGCAACGCCGCGUGAGUGAUGAAGGUCUUCGGAUCGUAAAACUCUGUUAUUAGGGAAGAACAUGCGUGUAAGUAACUGUGCACGUCUUGACGGUACCUAAUCAGAAAGCCACGGCUAACUACGUG